rnacentral:rRNA from 1 species
CACGUAGGGUGCGAGCGUUGUCCGGAAUUAUUGGGCGUAAAGAGCUCGUAGGCGGUGUGUCGCGUCGGCCGUGAAAACCUGCAGCUUAACUGUGGGCUUGCGGUCGAUACGGGCUUCACUGGAGUUCGGCAGGGGAGACUGGAAUUCCUGGUGUAGCGGUGAAAUGCGCAGAUAUCAGGAGGAACACCGGUGGCGAAGGCGGGUCUCUGGGCCGAUACUGACGCUGAGGAGCGAAAGCGUGGGGAGCGAACAGG